rnacentral:rRNA from 1 species
GCAAGUCGAACGAGAAAGCUCCUUCGGGGGUGAGUAGAGUGGCGCACGGGUGAGUAACACGUAGGUGACCUACCUUUUAGUGGGGGAUAACUCCGAGAAAUUGGAGCUAAUACCGCAUAAGAUGAACAACUUUGAAAAUAGUUCAUGAAAGGAUGCCUCUUCUUGAAAGCAUUCACUGAAAGAUGGGCCUGCGGAUCAUUAGUUUGUUGGUGGGGUAAUGGCCUACCAAGACUACGAUGAUUAGCGGAUCUGAGAGGAUGAUC